GACCUAGGGGAGAAGCUGACAGCUGGGGGUUCAGUGAUGUGUGUGAGAAAAAGGGAGCAGCCCGCACUGGGCCAGUGGCACGCUGACAGCUGGGGGUUCAGAGGUGUGUGUGAGAAAAAGGGAGCUGCUCGCACUGGGCCAGUGGCACGCUGACAGCUGGGGGGUCAGAGGUGUGUGUGAGAAAAAGGGAGCUGCUCGCACUGGGCCAGUGGCACGCUGACAGCUGGGGGGUCAGAGGUGUGUGUGAGAAAAAGGGAGCUGCUCGCACUGGGCCAGUGGCACGCUGACAGCUGGGGGGUCAGAGGUGUGUGUGAGAAAAAGGGAGCUGCUCGCACUGGGCCAGUGGCACGCUGACAGCUGGGGGGUCAGAGGUGUGUGUGAGAAAAAGGGAGCUGCUCGCACUGGGCCAGUGGCACGCUGACAGCUGGGGGGUCAGAGGUGUGUGUGAGAAAAAGGGAGCUGCUCGCACUGGGCCAGUGGCACGCUGACAGCACACAUGCUUAUAUAAAAAACCUCUCUAUGUCAUAAAAACAAAUGAUCUCUUCCCUGAGACCAUUCUGCAUUAUAUUUUACCAUGGAAGUACUUUGGUAACAUGGUGACAUCGUAAAUAAAGUAAAUAAAGUAAAUAAAGUAAAUAAAGUAUGCUGAAAUGGUCAGUAAUGAAUGGGGGACAGGGACAUGGGAACCAGGAGGGGUGUGUACCCUCCGAUAUUUAAUUUGGCUUCAUUUACCACUCCUCCUCCUCCCCCCACCAAAAAAAAAUAAAAAUAAAAGAAUCACACUGUCUCCUACACCAAGUUCCUAUUGCUGCCAUAAAAGUCAAUAUGGGGAAGAUAACUUUUGUAAUUGAUUGUGUGUGUAUAUACUGUAUACUGUACACUGUAUACUGUACUGUACGUAUAUAUAUAUAUAUAUAUUACACAUUCACAUUCAGUGAUGCAAUCCAAGCACAGCACACAUAGGGUUAAGAGGCAAUGACAAACCGUCUGUUGGGCUCCCGUCUGUAAAUGUCAAGUGUGAGGCUUCAGAGGCCUGUAUGUUUACCCUGCAAUCAAGCGGGGGAUGCCGUGAACCCCAGUGCCCUUUCCGGAGCGGUGUCACGUGGCACCUCUGCCGGGGGCGGCAGCUGGGGCUUGGGGCUGGUGUGGGACGUCGGGAAGGGGGGGGCAAGAUCCGCGUGCCAAAAGGCCUCAAACCCCCCUUUAAACUCCAGUGACAUGAGCUUCAAUGAGCAGAUGACAUAGCUAAUGAAACUCUUCAAAAAGAUUGAAGAUAAGCAAUUAUUUGGCCCUUCGUCAAACUACGGGGCUGGACUUUACAAUCUGUUACAUUCCUCAGAGACCAACAGCCCAAAGAUAGACAUGGCGAUAGAACGGCACUAAAAUUAAAGAGGACAGAAUGCUCUCUAUGGCAUCUUAUGUAAUGUGACAUAUUUGUGUCGAUUGCAUGUUAUUCAUAGAGUUUGUUGCAUGUAUUUAUGCUGCAUUAUAUAUUCAGUCAUCAUCAUUCACAUUCAGACGUCCUUCAUCUGCCAAAUGCCUUCUGUUAACAGCAGAAUUAACAUCAGCCAGUAACUUUUCUGCUUGUGUUUGA